rnacentral:rRNA from 1 species
CAUGGGGAAUAGUUGCACAAUGGGGGAAACCCUGAUGCAGCCAUGCCGCGUGAGUGAAGAGGACCUUCGGGUGUAAAGCACUUUCAGUAGGGAGGAAGGUAGUGUAGUUAACACCUGCAUUAUUUGACGUUACCUACAGAAGAAGCACCGGCUAACUCCGUGCCAGCAGCCGCGGUAAUACGGAGGGUGCGAGCGUUAAUCGGAAUUACUGGGCGUAAAGCGCAUGCAGGCGGCCUGUUAAGUCAGAUGUGAAAGCCCGGGGCUUAACCUCGGAAAUUGCAUUUGAAACUGGCAGGCUAGAGUCUUGUAGAGGGGGGUAGGAAUUUCAGGUGUAGCGGUGAAAUGCGUAGAGAUCUGAAGGAAUACCAGUGGCGAAGGCGGCCCCCUGGACAAAGACUGACGCUCAGAUGCGAAAGCGUGGGGAGCAAACAGGAUUAGAUACCCUGGUAG